CAAGAUCUCUUGUUGAACUAUCGUUCGGGCCUUAAAGUCAUAACCGAAGGAUUGGACUCGCAUCAGCAAUCAGUUAUUCCUCCCUUUCACUUCCCUUCUGCAUCAAAUGUUAAGGUAGAAAACCAAGUGUUUCCGCUUUCUAUGGUGGAAAAGAGCUUCAUGGGGAAUUAUUCUCCCUCUUUCCUAUCUCCUUCGACGUCCGGAACACACUAUUUCUCUGCAUCUUCAAGUGGGAUGUACCAGUACAGCUUUGGAGGGAAUCAGAAUUUUCGGACUUCUGGUGAGUCUGAGCUGACUGACAAAAUAUCUGCUGCCGCUUCAACUACCGACUCUCCCACUGUUGGUUUGGACCUAUUUAGCAAUGUAGAAUUUGAUCCAAACUUCACAUUUGACAACUCAGGAUUCCUUUCAUAGUUCCAUGCUCAGCUUGGGAAUCAAGUAAAGUGAAGAUACCUAAAGCAUCUGAUCAGCAACUUGCACCCUGGUGGAUAGUGAAAAAUUGUCUUAACAAAGAAAUAGACGAGUUAGUUGAUUUGUUAGCCAAGAAAUUUUUUCUUCGGCGGUUUUGAAUAAAAGCAUGUUGCAACAGGUUUUGAGUUUUUUAAUUUUUAAUUAGGAAUUUUUUUGUCAUUUAUUAAUAUUUGAGUCUCACAUAUUUAUAUAUUGAAUCUAUAAGAAGCCGAGUCAAAACAAAAAUUUUUCAAUUAAUUG
rnacentral:misc_RNA from 1 species